UACGGAGGGUGCGAGCGUUGUCCGGAAUCACUGGGCGUAAAGGGCGCGUAGGCGGCAUGCCAAGCGUGUGGUGAAAGCCCGGGGCUCAACCCCGGGUCGGCCGUGCGGACUGGCGUGCUUGAGCACUGUAGAGGCAGGCGGAAUUCCGGGUGUAGCGGUGAAAUGCGUAGAUAUCGGGAGGAACACCAGUGGCGAAAGCGGCUACCUGGCCCAUUCUUGACGCUGAGGCGCGAAAGCUAGGGGAGCAAACGGG
rnacentral:rRNA from 1 species